AAAGGACGAAAAGAGACUUGAUCCUGUUGAUCUUUAAACUAAAACAAGUGAGAUUAAACUGUAAAGAUAAUGUCAAGGAGUUCAAUGUUUUAUGUUUUAGCCCCCGAAGAGUCAUGAGGAUCAUUGUUCAUGGACUUGAGCUUAUUUCCAGCAUAGUGCCAGGUUCAGCUCAACCGUUCAACUUUAAAGAGAAUUUCCAUCUCACAGAGGAAGAGGCUCUUGAAGUGAGCGAUCACUUUCCUGUA